GACGAACGCUGGCGGCGUGCUUAACACAUGCAAGUCGAACGGAAAGGCCCUGCUUUUGUGGGGUGCUCGAGUGGCGAACGGGUGAGUAACACGUGAGUAACCUGCCCUUGACUUUGGGAUAACUUCAGGAAACUGGGGCUAAUACCGGAUAGGAUCUCCUGCUGCAUGGUGGGGGUUGGAAAGUUUCGGCGGUUGGGGAUGGACUCGCGGCUUAUCAGCUUGUUGGUGGGGUAGUGGCUUACCAAGGCUUUGACGGGUAGCCGGCAUGAGAGGGUGACCGGCGACAAUGGGACUGAGAGACGGACCAGACUCCUACGGGAGGCAGCAGUGGGGAAUAUUGCACAAUGGGCGGAAGCCUGAUGCAGCAACGCCGCGUGCGGGAUGACGGCCUUCGGGUUGUAAACAGCUGUCGCCUGUGACGAAGCGUGAGUGACGGUAAUGGGUAAAGAAGCACCGGCUAACUACGUG
rnacentral:rRNA from 1 species